rnacentral:pre_miRNA from 11 species
AACCGCACGGGAAAAUCCAUCUUCCCGUGCGGUCGGGUUAAGUGGACCGCAAUGGAUAAUCAAUUAUCCCGUGCGGUC